CAUAGGUUAAUGAGGCGAACCGGGGGAACUGAAACAUCUAAGUACCCCGAGGAAAAGAAAUCAACCGAGAUUCCCCCAGUAGCGGCGAGCGAACGGGGAGGAGCCCAGAGCCUGAAUCAGUGUGUGUGUUAGUGGAAGCGUCUGGAAAGGCGCGCGAUACAGGGUGACAGCCCCGUACACAAAAAUGCACAUGCUGUGAGCUCGAUGAGUAGGGCGGGACACGUGGUAUCCUGUCUGAAUAUGGGGGGACCAUCCUCCAAGGCUAAAUACUCCUGACUGACCGAUAGUGAACCAGUACCGUGAGGGAAAGGCGAAAAGAACCCCGGCGAGGGGAGUGAAAAAGAACCUGAAACCGUGUACGUACAAGCAGUGGGAGCCUCUUAAUGGGGUGACUGCGUACCUUUUGUAUAAUGGGUCAGCGACUUAUAUUCUGUAGCAAGGUUAACCGAAUAGGGGAGCCGAAGGGAAACCGAGUCUUAACUGGGCGUUAAGUUGCAGGGUAUAGACCCGAAACCCGGUGAUCUAGCCAUGGGCAGGUUGAAGGUUGGGUAACACUAACUGGAGGACCGAACCGACUAAUGUUGAAAAAUUAGCGGAUGACUUGUGGCUGGGGGUGAAAGGCCAAUCAAACCGGGAGAUAGCUGGUUCUCCCCGAAAGCUAUUUAGGUAGCGCCUCGUGAAUUCAUCUCCGGGGGUAGAGCACUGUUUCGGCAAGGGGGUCAUCCCGACUUACCAACCCGAUGCAAACUGCGAAUACCGGAGAAUGUUAUCACGGGAGACACACGGCGGGUGCUAACGUCCGUCGUGAAGAGGGAAACAACCCAGACCGCCAGCUAAGGUCCCAAAGUCAUGGUUAAGUGGGAAACGAUGUGGGAAGGCCCAGACAGCCAGGAUGUUGGCUUAGAAGCAGCCAUCAUUUAAAGAAAGCGUAAUAGCUCACUGGUCGAGUCGGCCUGCGCGGAAGAUGUAACGGGGCUAAACCAUGCACCGAAGCUGCGGCAGCGACACUAUGUGUUGUUGGGUAGGGGAGCGUUCUGUAAGCCUGUGAAGGUGGCCUGUGAGGGUUGCUGGAGGUAUCAGAAGUGCGAAUGCUGACAUAAGUAACGAUAAAGCGGGUGAAAAGCCCGCUCGCCGGAAGACCAAGGGUUCCUGUCCAACGUUAAUCGGGGCAGGGUGAGUCGACCCCUAAGGCGAGGCCGAAAGGCGUAGUCGAUGGGAAACAGGUUAAUAUUCCUGUACUUGGUGUUACUGCGAAGGGGGGACGGAGAAGGCUAUGUUGGCCGGGCGACGGUUGUCCCGGUUUAAGCGUGUAGGCUGGUUUUCCAGGCAAAUCCGGAAAACCAAGGCUGAGGCGUGAUGACGAGGCACUACGGUGCUGAAGUGACAAAUGCCCUGCUUCCAGGAAAAGCCUCUAAGCAUCAGGUAACAUCAAAUCGUACCCCAAACCGACACAGGUGGUCAGGUAGAGAAUACCAAGGCGCUUGAGAGAACUCGGGUGAAGGAACUAGGCAAAAUGGUGCCGUAACUUCGGGAGAAGGCACGCUGAUAUGUAGGUGAAGCGACUUGCUCGUGGAGCUGAAAUCAGUCGAAGAUACCAGCUGGCUGCAACUGUUUAUUAAAAACACAGCACUGUGCAAACACGAAAGUGGACGUAUACGGUGUGACGCCUGCCCGGUGCCGGAAGGUUAAUUGAUGGGGUUAGCGGUAACGCGAAGCUCUUGAUCGAAGCCCCGGUAAACGGCGGCCGUAACUAUAACGGUCCUAAGGUAGCGAAAUUCCUUGUCGGGUAAGUUCCGACCUGCACGAAUGGCGUAAUGAUGGCCAGGCUGUCUCCACCCGAGACUCAGUGAAAUUGAACUCGCUGUGAAGAUGCAGUGUACCCGCGGCAAGACGGAAAGACCCCGUGAACCUUUACUAUAGCUUGACACUGAACAUUGAGCCUUGAUGUGUAGGAUAGGUGGGAGGCUUUGAAGUGUGGACGCCAGUCUGCAUGGAGCCGACCUU
rnacentral:rRNA from 1 species